GCUCGAGAAGGCCGCGCGGUGCGCGGCCCCGCGGGCUUAGCCUUCGUGACCCGCGUGCUGGCUCUGGCGUCCGGGCUCCCGGGCGUCCGCGAGAAUCCCAUUAUGUAGUUCAGGCUGACCUUGAACUCACUAUGUAACCCAGACUGUCCUCUAACCCUAGAGGAUCCUCCUGCCUCAGCCUCCCAAGUACUGGGAUUACAGGGAUGGAACUCGGGUCCUUGUGCUUGCGCAGCAGGCGGCGAAACCACUGAGCUAAAUCCCCGGCCCUGUUUAACUCUUUUGACUAAAGAUAAGUGUUAGGAUUUGAUAUUCUGGGAGGGGAAGGGGUGAAAGGAUUGUAUCCACCCAUCUUUCCCUCCCACCUGCACCUGAAGCUAGCUCUUGCACUCUAUUCUUGGUCAAAAAUGGGAGAUGAAACACUGUCCAGCAUACCCACAGCAGUAUAGAAGAAAGAACAGCAGCUGCCAAACCUGCUUCACCAAGUCACACUGCCACUAGUGGUGACCAGGACCAAGGUUUUAACACUUGAGGAGCCUUGAAUGGCAGGGCUAAAUACAACCACCUUGCCUUGUGUUAGCUAGUGGGUGUGUUUUAACAAGUUCCAUAAGUAAGCUUUUACCAUUUGAUACUUCUCAAAUUCAAAUGCAGAUACCUCUUGACUUAUGGAGUUAUGUCACCAUAACCCCAUGGUAAGAUAAAAAUAUUAAGUUAAAAUUGCAUUCAAUACUCCUAAUCUAGGGCCAGGAUUUAGCUCAGUGGUUCGGCCACCUGCCUUGUAAGCGUAAGGACCUGAGUUCAAUCCCCGGUACCAAAAAAAAAAAAAAUACACCUAAUCUAUCAAACAUUGUAACUUGGCCUAACUUUUCUUAAACAUACUCAGAGAACUUACAUCAGUUUACAGUUGGGCAAAAUUAUCUAACACAAACCUAUUUUACAAUAAAAUGUUGAAUAUCUCAUGCAAUUUAUUGAAUAUUGUACUGAAACUGAAAAACAUGGUAGUGUGGGUAGCUUUCACAUGAUCAAAUUGAAAGCUGUAAGUCAGAUCAUCAUAAGUUGGUGACUAUAUGAAAACAUCUUGAAAAUAUAUAAAAAUACUUACAAUAGCAUGCAUGUUUUACUUAUCUCUAUUCUAGUAUUUCUUGGUGCUCAACAGAUGGUCACUUUUCCUUGGCUCUAGCUGGAGUGGUUGCUUGUCUGUCACCCCACAGGCUAGGGUUGGGGAUGGCUUUCACUGCUGCUGGGCUGGGGCUGUUGCACCUUGUUUUUUUUUUUUUGGUACCAGGGAUUGAACUCGGGACCUUGUGCUUGCGAGUCAGGCGGCAAAACCACUGAGCUAAAAGUUGCACCUUGUUGAUUUCCUUAACUCUGCUCACUUCCUUCAAAGUCCAUUUAUACUUCCUAAAUGAACAUGCCUUUCCUUCCCACCUUAGAUGGUACCUGAACAGAUAUGCAUCAAGGUCUAGCCCCUCCAAUUUAAUCUGCAUGCUUUUCCUUCCGCACUCUAGUCUCUGAUACAAAUGAACCCCCUAGAAUCCACCCCCCAACUCUGAACCUUGCAUAUGCUGUUCUAACAAGACUAUUCCAUGAAGACUUCCUAGAUUUCCUUGCAUGUAGGUGUUGUUACUGAGUUUUCCACAUUGUAUCAAUUUUAUUCAUUUAUUUAUUUAUUUUUUGGGGGGUUACUGAGGAUCGAACUCAGAACCUUGCGCUUGUGAGGCAGGUGCCAGAACCACUGAGGUAAAUCCCCGGCCCUAUUUCGGUAUUUUGAAACAAGGUCUCACUAUGUAAUUCAGGGUGGCCUUAAACUUGGGAUAAUCCUCCUGCCUCAGCUUCCUAAGUGUUGAGAUUACAGGCAUGUACCACCUUGCCCAGUUGAUUUUAUUAUUUUUAUACUUUUUUCUUCUUUUGCCACAUUGUACUUGCCGCUUUGCCUUUUCAAAGCUGAAAUUCCUUGAGGCUGAACAUUGUGUCUUAAUGCAAACAGUCAUUCUCCAAGUUAUUUGUUUUGGAAAUAUUACUUCUUCCUGUAUCAGAUUUACCUUAAGGUAAUUCCAGUUCUCAUGGGCUUCCUCAAGAUGUGGAUGGCAUAAAGGACACAGAUACCAAGAAGAGCUCACCAUCAUGGCUUUCCUCACGAUAGGCUGCCCUGCUUUCUCCAGAUGAGAAGAACCUGGAAUCUAACUCCAGAAGGAGAGAUGAGCAACCCAGAACCUGCUAAUGCUUAAUUGGAUCUUUCUAAAUUGCACAAGCUGGCCUCAAACUUGUGAUUCUCCUGCAUCAGCCUCCUGAGUGACUGGAAUUAGAGUGGUAUAGUAAACAUCUCACAGACACAGCAAGAAGCCCAGAGGAUAAAGGGACGGGAAAUCAGGUCCAGAGGGACUGAGGAAGUUGGAAGUCCAAAACAG
rnacentral:lncRNA from 1 species